GGAUCUGAGCAAAUAAUGCCAACUGAUGGAUAGCUUGGCUCUAAAUAACGAAGAAGGGCGCAGCAAGCUGUGAAAAGUCUUGGGUAGGCGCAAGCAGCCAUUGAACCAAGAAUUCCCGAAUGCGACAUCGCAUUAACUUCGGUUAAUAUUCCGAAAGGAAGGAUAACCCGCCGAAUUGAAGCAUCUUAGUAAGCGGAGGAAAAGAAAGCAAUAGCGAUUGGGUAAGUAAGGGCGACCGAAAACCCAACAGGGCAAAUCGAAUCAAUACGGAAACGUAACGAAAUGUGAUGAUUGCGCACAAUUUAACUAGUUGACUAGAAGUCUGCUGGAAUGCAGUACCAUAGAGGAUGAAAGUUCCGUAUAGGAAAACUAGAAAGUUGAUUGCAAUCGAAGAGUACCAUUCCUCAAGUAUGGAGUGGAAAUACGGGAGUAUCAACUCCCAACCCUAAAUAUAUUUAGAGACCGAUAGCGAAGAAGUAAGGUGACUGAAAGCUGAAAAGUAUUCUUCACCGAAUGUGAAAAGAUCUUGAAAUCAGUUGGUUAUAGACCUUUAUGGCAUGGAAGGUUCUCUUGUGAAGGAAAGCGUCGUGAGGCGCAUGUACUAACGAGAGAUUACAGUGUCAUAAUAUCCGUUUCGAAAUUGAAGCAAGGUGGUAAUUUAGAUUUUAUUUACUACUCUUAACGAGAAUAGUUGGGGUAGAUAUUCUAGAAUCUAAACACUUAACUUUAUGGAAAUAAAAUUGACCAAAAACAUUUCUUAUCUGAUUGGAUUUAUGAUAGGAGAUGGAAAUCUUGCAGCAGAUUGCUCAAAAAACUUAGUAAGAAUGUCUGAAGAAAAUGAAGAAUUGGUGUAUGAAAUUAAAGAUAUGUUUAGAAAAGAAUUUAAUGAAAAUAUGAAAAUCUAUUUUGAUACAUACAAUAACUCAUUUGUCCUUUACAAAUAUUCAGAAAAGCUUUGGAAAUAUUUUGUAGAUGAAAUGAAAAUACUAUCUGGAACUAAAAGCAGAAUAGUUAGAGUUCCGGAUCAGAUAAUGAAAACUACAGAUGAAAAUAAAGCAGCAUUCUUAUCGGGGAUAUUUGAUGCAGAAGGUUCUGUUUUAAAUAUUAAACAAAAGAAAUCGCACCCGAGAGGUUAUUUGAGAAUACAAUUUAAAGUUUCUAGUAAAAACUUAGCACACGAAAUAUAUAUUUUGUUGCAAGAACUUGGAAUGAAGCCAAGAAUUCAUAACUAUGAAUACAGAAAAGAAAUAUGUUCAUUUAUACAUUUGAAUGGAAAAGAGCAAGGAAAACUAUUUUUAAAAAAGGUCGGUUUUAAACAUCGUAUAAAAAAUAAAAAGUUAAACACUUUCUUUAACGAGAUUCACGGGACAGGGAGCUUAUCUUUGUGGCGAGGAUAAUCCGUUAAGCGGAGCAUCCUUAGCGAAAGCGACAAGUGCGUAGUUUCGACGUGGCACGCCCUUUGAAAGAGGGGGAAGUCACAAGGGUAAUACCCGAAAGGGGGUGAUCUAUUCCUGGAUAGGGUGAAGCGUGACGAAAGUUGCGUGGAGGCCCGCUACCGAUGCUGUUUCUAAGCGCUCGGGUGAUCUGGGAAUAGGGGUGAAAUCAGAUCCAGUAUCGAAUGAGAACAAUUCACUACCAUCGUGGGUAAAGAAGAUUUAUACCAUCGUUGAUUUGUUUAAUAAAAAUGAACAGAGAUGAAACGCAAUUGGUAAGACUUAUAGCUUUAUUAUUAACAGAUGGCGGAAUUUCAAAAGCAUCUAAGAAUUUAUAUGAAAUCUAUAUAACAAAUAAUUCAAAUAUAAUAUUGAAUAUGUUUGAAGCAUGUAUAGAAGAUUUAUUCGGAAAACAAAAAUUUUAUAGAUAUAAAUUCAAAACAGUUAAGAAAGUAAAAAUUACUUCAAAGGAAAUAGGAAUUUAUCUUUUAAAAUUUUCAUCGAGCUAUAGAACACGACCAUGUAACACAUAUCCAAAAUGUCUUGAUAAGACUUUAUGUAGAAUAUGUAGAUCAAUAAAUGGAUAUCCGCCAGCAAGAAUACCUAAAUUCAUAUUAAACGGAAAAAUAGAAAUACGCCAAGAAUUUUUGAAAAUAGCGUUUUCUGCAGAUGGUUGUAUUGAAUUUUAUGAAAAUAAAAAUAAGAAAAACAACAAGAAAAGCAACAAGAAAAGCAUUCAGAGAAGAAUAAGUCUUUUUUGUAGCAAUCCAUAUAUUUUGAAACAAUUUAAAACAAUGAUUAAAAAAUGUGGGUUUAAUAUUACUUUUACAAAAACAGAAAUCAGAAUAACCGGAAAGAAGCAGUUAAACAAGUUUAAAAAUGAGAUUGGAUUUUUAGAUGGCGUUGUUGUUUCAUCAAAAAGCAAAUUUUGGUGCGGUUAUGAUAAAAAUGAAUUAUUAAGAAUUGUUCUUAAUUCGUAUUGGACUGACAUCAAAAGCCAAUCGAACCCCCUAAUAGCUGGUUCCUCCAGAAAUGUGUCCUAGCACAGCCUUACCGGAGAUAGUUGGCAGGGUAAAGCACUGAUCAGGAAGUUAAGGAAAGAAAUUUCCGGCUUUCUUGUCAUACUAAUAAUCUGUCAUCGUCGUAGAUGGUAGGAGUGAGAGUACCGGGGUAAGCUUGGUGCUCGAAAGGGGAACAACCCAGCGUAAGGUUAAGGUCCCUAAUUCUCAAUUAAUACACGAAACUAGUAGUAACUCAAAAACAGGUGGGCGGUAGGCUUAGAAGCAGCCACCCGAUAAUCAACGCGUAACAGCGGACCACUCGAGGGUUACUGCGGUGAAAAUGGACGGGAGUAAAUUGAGAACCGAUACCUUACAUAUCGAAAGAUAUAGAGUAUGGAGGCGUCCUGUAUGGGUAGAAGCAUCUGCUUGAGCAGGUGUGGACCGUACAGGAAUGAGAAUCCUGUCAUUAGUAGCAGCAACGUUAGGUUAGAACCCUAACCGCUUGAAAGGCAAGGUUUUCUCGGCAACGUCUAUCGACCGAGAGUUAGUUGAUCCUAACCCAAACCUUAACUGAAUUUGGGGAAAGGGAAACUGGUUAAUAUUCCAGUACCAUGAAUAUACGCGCGGCAACGCAAGUCUGAUUGAAGACACUUUGGGAUAGUUUAAUGUAAAUUAAGUAUUGAAAUCCAGGGAGUUCUGUCAAAGAGAGAACUGGAUGAAAGUGCGAAUAGCUUUCCUGUAUGGGAGAGUUUAAGUGAUUCCUAGAGUCCGUGAAAAUUUAAUCAGAAUGGAUUAUUCGUGUUCAUACCAAGAACCGACACAGGUGACCUUUGCUGAGAAGGCAAUAGCGUGUCAGAUCAUGCCACUUUAGGGAACUCGGCAAUAUUGGCCCCGUACCUUAGGUAUAAGGGGUGUCUAUGCAGCGAUGCAUAGAUCGCAGUGACCAGAGGGAAGCGACUGUUUAACAAAUCAAAUGAGUAAAAUAAUUUUUUGUUAGAAAGUUACGCUUUCUGAAAUAGAAAGAAAUAUUGAGUUCCAAAUAAAUAAAGAAGGCGUUAAACUUUCAAACAAUACCUUAUAACAUAGCAGAAUAUUAUAACAAAAUUUAUUCAUUUGAGUUAUAAAACGUAGCUGGCUGCUAAAGAGAAAUCUUUUGUAUAGCCAGUGAGGCCUGCCCAGUGCGAGUGUGUUAAAGCUGGUUUCAACCGGCCUAAGCCCUCGUAAACGGCGGCGGUAACUCUGACCGUCUUAAGGUAGCGUAAUCCCUUGUCGUUUAAUUGACGACCCGCAUGAAUGGCUUAACGACUUCCCUGCUGUCCCAAGGUGGUGUCUGGCGAACUUACUAUUGUGGUGUACAGGCCACAGAUCCUCAGAGGGAAGAGAAGACCCCGUGGAGCUCUGCGGCAGCCUGUCGUUGUUGUACGAUUGUGGUUGCAUAGCGUAAGUAGGAGCUGUCAUGCCAACAUCUUUGGGUGUUGGAUAGGCAACAAUGUAACACUACUCUUCUAUAAUUGUACGACUUACCUCGACUCGGGGGACACCGAUUGGUGGGCCGCUCGGCUGGGGCGGUACGCCCAUGAUAGGAAAUCAUGGGCGCCCAAAGUGAGACUCAUUCCGGUCAGAAAUCGGAAAUAGAGUGUAAGCGCAAAAGUCUCAUUGAUUGGAUUCCGCAUCGCAAGGAAUCCAAAUGUGAAAGCAUGGGCUAGCGAUACGCCGAGUUGGUUUUGAUGACUAUCGGUGACUUCAGAAUGUCAACGUAAUCCGAGUUAAGAAUUGUAUUUAGUAAUCGAGUUAAGUAAACACAGAAUGCGAGAGCUUCGUAAUAUCUUUUCCAUGAAAAAAUCCUGAAUUUAUAGGUGGAGAUUUAUCUUAAAAAUCUUUACAAAUAUUUACAGGGUUAUCAAAAAAUUUCAUGAGAGAUAGCACGGAGCAAAAUAUUUCGAGAUUUAUAUUUUUAUAACUCGAAAGAAUACAACUUCUUAAACUUGGAGUACUUGACCUGAUCAAGCUACCCCGGGGAUAAUGGAGUCGUGGCGGGCGAGAGUUCCUAAUUGAACCUUUCAGAUAGUGAAUGGUGCAAUGAGCAAAUCGACAUAUAAUUAUGGGGGUUUUCUUACUCACGGUUGAUAAUGAUUUGAUUGAAGUCGAUUAUAAGAAUCAACUAUUGUUUAAGACUAGCAGCAAUGCUAGCUUUAGCUAGAGUAAGAUAGACCUAUUUUAUACGAGAUCCCGCGCAUUGCUUCUCCGCUGUCGGCUUCCCCCCUCCUGGUCGUGCAGCAGCGGCCAAGGGUACAGGUGUUCACUGGUUAAAGGGGGACAUUAGCUGGGUUCAGUACGUCGUGAUUUAGGCGUGGAUGGGUUUUUGAUGAUAAUUCUCGUAUUCCAAGAUGAUCUAGUGAGAACUAGCCUUAGCGCUAUCAAUGAAACUAGACUACCUGAAUACGUAACAAAUAAAGUUUUGGCAAUGAUUGCACCGCCCCGGUGCGAAAAUUCGCGAGAAUGGAGUAGCUUAUGAGCCAUGAAAAAACUUUAAAAAUUCCAGCAGCAAUGAAAAAGAAAGAAACUGUCUAGAUGAGCUGUAUGGAAAUUAAAACCUUCCCUCUACCCUAAACGACAUAGACAGUACGGUUUAUAUCUUCUGAGGAUGUUAUUUACCUGACUCAAAGGAUGGGCAAGUACGAAAGGAACGCCCAUUCGUGGCCACUGGUUUACCUGUUAUCAUAUGGUAACGCAGGUCAGCUACGCCAUAAUUCUUAAGGGCUGAAAGCAUCUAAGCCCGAAACAAUUGGGAAAAAUAGGUAAUGACUGCUCGUAGAUGACGAGUUUGAUAGAACGGGGGUGUACGCACGAAGCUUCGGCGACGUGUUCAGCUCACCGUUACUAAAUGUCUUUAGCUCAGAUCC
rnacentral:rRNA from 1 species